AGUGAACGCUGGCGGUAGGCCUAACACAUGCAAGUCGAACGGCAGCACAGUAAGAGCUUGCUCUUACGGGUGGCGAGUGGCGGACGGGUGAGGAAUACAUCGGAAUCUACUUUUUCGUGGGGGAUAACGUAGGGAAACUUACGCUAAUACCGCAUACGACCUACGGGUGAAAGCAGGGGAUCUUCGGACCUUGCGCGAUUGAAUGAGCCGAUGUCGGAUUAGCUAGUUGGCGGGGUGAAGGCCCACCAAGGCGACGAUCCGUAGCUGGUCGGAGAGGAUGAUCAGCCACACUGGAACUGAGACACGGUCCAGACUCCUACGGGAGGCAGCAGUGGGGAAUAUUGGACAAUGGGCGCAAGCCUGAUCCAGCCAUACCGCGUGGGUGAAGAAGGCCUUCGGGUUGUAAAGCCCUUUUGUUGGGAAAGAAAAGCAGCAGGUUAAUACCCCGCUGUUCUGACGGUACCCAAAGAAUAAGCACCGGCUAACUUCGUG
rnacentral:rRNA from 1 species